rnacentral:tRNA from 1 species
GAGAGUAUAGCUCAGUGGUAGAGCACAUGCUUAGCAUGCAUGAGGUCCUGGUUCAAUUCCCAGUACCUUCU